UACGUAGGGGGCAAGCGUUGUCCGGAUUUACUGGGCGUAAAGAGCGUGUAGGCGGCCGCGCAGGUCCGUUGUGAAAACUGGAGGCUCAACCUUCAGACGUCGACGGAAACCGUGUGGCUAGAGUCCGGAAGAGGAGAGUGGAAUUCCUGGUGUAGCGGUGAAAUGCGCAGAUAUCAGGAGGAACACCGAUGGCGAAGGCAGGUCUCUGGGCCACUACUGACGCUGAGAAGCGAAAGCAUGGGGAGCGAACAGG
rnacentral:rRNA from 1 species